UAGUCCACACCGUAAACGCUGUCUACUAACUGUGUGUGAAUUUAAUUCGUGCGUAGUGAAGCUAACGCGCUAAGUAGACCGCCUGGGGAGUACGGCCGCAAGGUUAAAACUCAAAUGAAUUGACGGGGGCCCGCACAAGCGGUGGAGCAUGUGGUUUAAUUCGAUGCAACGCGAAGAACCUUACCUACUCUUGACAUACUGAGAACUUUCCAGAGAUGGAUUGGUGCCUUCGGGAGCUCAGAUACAGGUGCUGCAUGGCUGUCGUCAGCUCGUGUCGUGAGAUGUUGGGUUAAGUCCCGCAACGAGCGCAACCCUUGUCCUUAUUUGCCAUCAUUAAGUUGGGCACUCUAGGGGGACUGCCGGUGAUAAGCCGGAGGAAGGUGGGGAUGACGUCAAGUCCUCAUGGGCCCUUAGGGGCUGGGGCUACACACGUGCUACAAUGGGUAGUGACAAUGGGGCAGCGAGACCGCGAGGGUCGAGGCUAAUCU
rnacentral:rRNA from 1 species